rnacentral:rRNA from 1 species
GAUGAACGCUGGCGGCGUGCUUAACACAUGCAAGUCGAACGGAAAGGCCCAAGCUUGCUUGGGUACUCGAGUGGCGAACGGGUGAGUAACACGUGGGUGAUCUGCCCUGCACUUCGGGAUAAGCCUGGGAAACUGGGUCUAAUACCGGAUAGGACGAUGGUUUGGAUGCCAUUGUGGAAAGUUUUUUCGGUGUGGGAUGAGCUCGCGGCCUAUCAGCUUGUUGGUGGGGUAAUGGCCUACCAAGGCGUCGACGGGUAGCCGGCCUGAGAGGGUGUACGGCCACAUUGGGACUGAGAUACGGCCCAGACUCCUACGGGAGGCAGCAGUGGGGAAUAUUGCACAAUGGGCGCAGGCCUGAUGCAGCGACGCCGCGUGGGGGAUGACGGCCUUCGGGUUGUAAACUCCUUUCGCUAGGGACGAAGCGUUUUUGUGACGGUACCUGGAGAAGAAGCACCGGCUAACGACGUGC